UACGUAGGUGGCAAGCGUUGUCCGGAUUUACUGGGCGUAAAGAGCGCGCAGGCGGUCGUUCAAGUCGCGUGUGAAAGCCCCCGGCUCAACUGGGGAGGGUCACGCGAUACUGAUCGACUCGAAGGCAGGAGAGGGUAGUGGAAUUCCCGGUGUAGUGGUGAAAUGCGUAGAUAUCAGGAGGAACACCAAUAGCGAAGGCAGCUCGCUGGGACGUUACUGACACUGAGGCGCGAAAGCGUGGGGAGCGAACAGG
rnacentral:rRNA from 1 species